UCUUACUCCCUGUGCCCCAGAACCAUCAUUUGCAAUGCUGAUCUUAAUUUCGGGUGCUAUUCUGUGCCACUUUUUGAUGAUCCAGCAAAAAUACUUAACGGAAACAUUCCCCUGUAGUCUGGCUACAUCCCUAAUAUAAUUUUUUUCUUAUGACCAUCUCCCAUGUAACUACAGGAGAUGCAACAUCCAGCUUUUCACCCUUCCCAAUUUCAACAGCCCAUUUUACACAGGUAGAUGGGCCAAUUGUAUUAAUUUAGAACAUUGUAUUUGCUGCUCAUAAUGUAACUCCUGUAAAUUGGGAGCAGUAGAUGCAAGUUUGCAGACUGUCUGUGACUCCACAACUUAUUACUUUAAUUCCCCUUUCCACUUGGUCCCUGACUUUUCGAACCUUGAUAAUCUCUACUGCUCUCAGGAAACUCAAGGAAAGGUAUGCCUGAGAAAUAGAUGCAAGGAACUGCAGAUAAUGGUUUAUAUUAAAAAACACACACAAAGUGCUGGCGUCAUUGCAACUAGCAAAAUUAUAGCCUUUUGGAUUCUAUUUUGUGUUUAAUAAUUUUGCAUUUAUCUGUAUUUUCUGCAUUUCAAAUUUUACAUUUCCAGCAUGUACAUUGCAAUAUUUCAUUAAUUUAUUAAUGAUUCAACCUCUAUUUACAUCUUCAACCUGAUUUUUUUUUUUUUGCUUGUCAUAGUACCAACUUCACCUGACUUCUAACCUCUGAGACCCUUUUUCUUUUUCCUUCCUUAUUUCUUUGUUCUGCACCAUAAAAGCUAUUAAUCUUUGAUUUCUUUCCCCCCUACUAGACUUCAUGAAAGGUUUAAGUCUUGCACCUGUACUAGCUGUUUGAGAUGAUCACUCAUGAAAAUCAAGCUUGGACAUUUACCUGGAAGGAUGGCUUGCAGAAAUCCAAGAAGUAAACACUUAAAAAGAAAAAUAGGAUCUUUUUGAAGUGUAAAUCCUCAAUCUGGGAUUGUAUUUGGAUCAGUGUGUUUUGUAAAAGAAUAAUGUGAGGACGAAUGACCAGCACUGGGGGCUUCAGUUCAAGUCGUUUCUUUUUAUCGUGAGGGGCUGUCACAUGAGAAUGGACUUUAUCGAUGGAUGCUCAGAGCUUUCCAGGCCACUUGAAUCCACAAAUUACAACAAUUGCAGUUGCCUAUUAGAAGAGCUGACAAACUUCAAAGAAUGAUAGGAUCUUGUUGGAGAGAAUCCUCUGGAGGAUGGGGAUCCCUUCCAGCAGGAAUCUUUGGAGUGUUCACCAGGAUCUGAUCGUGUGUUUAAUUGUGUCAAUUUGCUGGUCAAUUAAAAUUAAUAGCUGAUUUAA